UCCAUGUGCUUCAGCAGAGUUUUCUUUCU
rnacentral:piRNA from 1 species